rnacentral:lncRNA from 1 species
AAAUAUAUUAUGGAUAUAUAUAUAGAGAUAUAUAGAUAUAAAAUACAUAAAAAUGUUAAAGUAGGAAAACAGAUGAUAAAGUCUAACAUUUUCCCCUUAAAAAGUUGAAAACUGAGGUUCACAGGGUAGGAGCCUCAUAACACACAAAUGCUGCUAACAUCUUCACAUCCCAUCUCUGAUUCUGGAGAAAUUCAACCAGGGACUGGCACCUGUGAUGUCUUGUCUUCAAUCAUUUAUUUUUACUCUCUUGAUUUUGAGCCUAGCUUUCAUCUACCUUCUCUCAGAGCCUGAUAGAAGCCCGGGUCAAGUAUGGGUUUUGGGUUGUUUUGUUUGUUUUGGUGGUAAGGAUUGAACUCAAGUCUUGCACAUGCUAGGCAAGUGCUUUACCAUUGAGCCAUAUUCCCAGCCCCAAGAAUGGGUUUUGAGAAUCUAUCUACACUGACUAGUAAAUACCAGUGCUAAAAAUAGGGUUACAAAUUGUGGUAGUGGUUACAUUUUGGUUUACAGUUUUGUUAACAUAAAAUAAAAGCAACAUAUGUGUUUAUAUACAAAUUUAUUAGAGAUUGAUCUAUUAAACAUAUUAAUAUUUUAAAAAAUAUUAAUUGCUAACACAUUGCAGGUGCUAGUUCCAGUAGUGGAACACAAACAAGUUUGUUUGCUUGUUUUGUUUUGUUUUGUUUUUGCUACUGGGAGUGCUUUACCUCUGAGCUAUAGCUCCAG